rnacentral:sRNA from 1 species
GAAAGGAAGAAAAGCUUGGUUUUGUAAUUCAAGCAAGCUAAGCUUGAUGAUUAAUGUUUUGAAGGAAUAUUGGAGUGCAAGUACGGGUCAAGCAACCAUAAAGCGAGAUUCAUUUUCGUUGCAGCGAGAAACUCUCGGGUAGGCAGCCUUAAUCCAUGCUCUGA